ACCCGGCUAGCUCAGUCAGUAGAGCAUGAGACUCUUAAUCUCAGGGUCAUGGGUUUGGGCCCCACGUUGGGCG
rfam:Erinaceus europaeus unplaced genomic scaffold scaffold00217, whole genome shotgun sequence